UUGGCUCCUAGCACAUGUCUGCUCACAAC
rnacentral:piRNA from 1 species